GACGAACGCUGGCGGUGUGCUUAACACAUGCAAGUCGAACGGUAAGGCCCUUCGGGGUACACGAGUGGCGAACGGGUGAGUAACACGUGGGUGAUCCGCCCUGCACUUCGGGAUAAGCCUGGGAAACUGGGUCUAAUACCGGAUAGGACCACUGCCUGCAUGGGUGGUGGUGGAAAGCUUUUGCGGUGUGGGGUGGGCCCGCGGCCUAGCAGCUUGUUGGUGGGGUGAUGGCCUACCAAGGCGUCGACGGGUAGCCGGCCUGAGAGUGUGCACGGCCAGACGGGGACUGGGAUCAGGACCGGACUCAUACGGGAGGCAGCAGUGGGGAAUAUUGCACAGUGGGCGCAGGCCUGAUGCAGCGACGCCGCGUGGGGGAUGACGGCCUUCGGGUUGUAAACCUCUUUCAGCACCGACGAAGCGCAAGUGACGGUAGGUGCAGAAGAAGGACCGGCCAACUACGUGCCAGCCGCCGCGGUAA
rnacentral:rRNA from 1 species